rnacentral:rRNA from 1 species
UACGGAAGGUCCGGGCGUUAUCCGGAUUUAUUGGGUUUAAAGGGAGCGCAGGCGGGCGCUUAAGCGUGCUGGGAAAUGCCGCGGCUCAACCGUGGAAGUGCAGCGCGAACUGGGUGCCUUGAGUGGGUACGACGCCGGCGGAAUUCGUGGUGUAGCGGUGAAAUGCUUAGAUAUCACGAAGAACUCCGAUUGCGAAGGCAGCCGGCGAGUCCUCAACAGACGCUAAAGCUCGAAGGUGCGGGUAUCGAAC